CGCUAGAAGGGUGACCUGCGGAGGGAUCAUUACCGAGUUAUACAACUCAUCAACCCUGUGAACAUACCUAUAACGUUGCCUCGGCGGGAACAGACGGCCCCGUAACACGGGCCGCCCCCGCCAGAGGACCCCCCUAACUCUGUUUCUAUAAUGUUUCUUUCUGAGUAAACAAGCAAAUAAAUUAAAACUUUCAACAACGGAUCUCUUGGCUCUGGCAUCGAUGAAGAACGCAGCGAAAUGCCGAUAAGUAAUGUGAAUUGCAGAAUUCAGUGAAUCAUCGAAUCUUUGAACGCACAUUGCGCCCGCCAGUAUUCUGGCGGGCAUGCCUGUUCGAGCGUCAUUACAACCCCUCCAGGCCCCCGGGCCUGGCGUUGGGGAUCGGCGGAAGCCCCCUGCGGGCACAACGCCGUCCCCCAAAUACAGUGGCGGUCCCGCCGCAGCUUCCAUUGCGUAGUAGCUAACACCUCGCAACUGGAGAGCGGCGCGGCCACGCCGUAAAACACCCAACUUCUGAAUGUUGACCUCGAAUCAGGUAGGAAUACCCGCUGAACUUAAGCAUAUCAUA
rnacentral:rRNA from 1 species